rnacentral:rRNA from 1 species
AUUGAACGCUGGCGGCAGGCCUAACACAUGCAAGUCGAGCGGAGCGGCGGACGGGUGAGUAAUGCCUAGGAAUCUGCCUGUUGGUGGGGGAUAACGUCCGGAAACGGGCGCUAAUACCGCAUACUCUCAGAUGAGCCUAGGUCGGAUGAGCUAGUUGGGGGGGUAAAGGCCUACUAAGGCGACGCUCCGUAACUGGUCUGAGAGGAUGAUCAGUCACACUGGAACUGAGACACGGUCCAAACUCCUACGGGAGGCAGCAGUGGGGAAUAUUGGACAACGGGCGAAAGCCUGAUCCAGCCAUGCCGCGUGUGUGAAGAAGGGCUUCGGAUUGGAAAGCACUUUAAGUUGGGAGGCGUUACCAACAGAAGAAGCACCGGCUAACUUCGUGCCAGCAGCCGCGGUAAUAC